ensembl:lncRNA
GGUUGUCAUAGAACAAUAAAAAUAGUUAGGAAAAAAAUGAGAGAAUCUUACUUUAAAUGUCGUUUUUAUAGGUUUUUCCCGUCCAACCUUGCCAUAUGUUAGCUGCUAAAUACCAGGUUAAAUCCGUGCUUUCCUGGAAAAGCUUCUAAUCUGCUUCGUGAUCUUCUGAAAGGUCAUACUGAAACCCUAAACCCCUUGGGCCUCCAACAUUGUCCUUCAGUAUCCAGCCCGUACAGGUAGACCGGUCUUUGAGAGCACAGCCAAAGAGAAAACAGGAAAAGGGGCACAACUGCCCUUCCCAAAUCAGGCAAACAGAUCUUGUGUAGCUCUUUUUUCCUCUUUUCUUCAUCAUUUGCAUAAUUGCAGUACUCUUCUGAAUCACUUUGCCAGUGAAGACUUGGCUGCUAGCCCUGUAAAUUGCUUUCACAUAAAUCUGGAAGUCAAGAAGUAAGGCAUGUUGUGCCAAUUAGCCUAAAAUCCAACCUAAUUCACCAUUGGACCAGAAGAGGACUUUCUGAAGACACAUAAAAUCAGUGCCUUGUACUUUAGUAUCCCGUCCCUAAAGAAAAGUUUGGUUUACUGUCUUCUUUCCAGCUGAGAUAGAAAUGAAGGCUUAACAUUCUCAUUCAAGGUCACUGGCUGUGUUGUCCUCUUGCGGUAGUUGCAAAAUACACUGGGGUGAGGGCAGGUGGUGAAAGAUGAGGAGAACAAAGCUUCAUUACUGUUACCCAUCAGCCCCUGCCCACCAACUGGAGGUCAGGAGAGUACAGAGAGGCAAAAGUCACCUCCACCAGGAAAAGGUUGGAGGUGGUGGAGAGAGGUUCAGCAUGACAGAGUGUGCGCAUGUAUUGGCUGAGGAACACGCACUUUGUUGUAUGUUAGUGAUUGCUCAAUUUGUUUACACGGUAACUCAUUUCUGCUACUGCUCUUUGUUCUUCAGAGAAGAUAGACAACCCAGCAGAGCAGAUCUUUGUUCCUUAUGAGCUCAUCUGCUCCUGCAGCUUGUGCCACACCUGUAAUUAUAAUUAUGGCCCACUGCUUGGGUUGCUGUAAUCCUUUCUAGUGAAACCAAUUGUGAUUUCACCAACAGAGUUACUUAGCAAAGUGAGAAUGCCUGAAUUGAUAGAAUAAGCAUCAUUAGUCCCUUUUAUUGGUUAAUUUGGCUGCACUUAGCCUUCUAUUAAGAUUCAGAUGAUUAACAUUUUUCGGUAAUAUGGAAGCAUCCGUGCACUUUCGAUGGAACUGUGAAGUUAAUAGACUGUAACUGGGCCACUCUGGACAAGCGUAAUAAGCUGAUACCAAGAGAUAAAAGAAGUGGUGCAGCUGCACCUCAGCUAUUACGUUAAUGAAGGAGAGAGAAUCCAUGUGGAAUCGCUGGAAGGAAACUGCUAAGAGAUGGUGUGGGUAAAUCAUCACAUGCUGACUAUUUUGGCCACAUCUUUCUUAUGAGCCCUUAAGAACACAACAUGGUGCCCUUUCCUGGUUCCUGACUUCCCGCACCUUUCUUGCUCUAUCAGACCCCUGCUCCUGCUCACCACUCUCUGGAUCUGUGUUCUUACUAUUCUUCCAUGCAGCUCUCCAAGUCCCGUCUCUUUCUUUCUCAUGUUGUACCUUCCAUUUUCCUCCCAAUCCACUGUUAGCACCCCCUUCUAAGUAGCAAUACCUAUAAAAUUUUUUGGAAAAUUUUGUGUUUUGCAUACAGCGAACAGACUUGGUCAACUAAACUGUUAUUGGCAUGGUGCCCUGGGUUUGACGCAGAGCCAGAGGAGCCAGAAGGGUUAACUCAGCUCUCUGUGCAGUAGGGGGCUUUCAGGGGGACCGUUGAGAACAAAAAUAUGAACUUAAAGGUGAGAUUAUCGAAGUCUCUGAAAUAAUGAGGGAUGAGAACAGAUGGGAAUCAUUUGUUCAUCCUAUCAUGGAAUUUGAGAAUCAAUGAGUCUUCCUUGGUGCCUGAAGGGGAUAGGCUUAAUAUAACUAGAAGAGGCAUAACAUUGUAAACUUAUGCAACAAAUUUCCCUGCAGGGUUUUACAGACUGGAAAUGAAAAUCAUUUAAGAAGGGAUUGGAUAUGCUAUGACUGGUAGAUCAUAUUAAAUUAACCCUCUUUGACCAACCUCCAUGCUGUUCUCAGGGUCAAAUUAUAAAUUACCUUUUCUUCAGAGCCAUAUUAUCAGCUCUGGGAAUGUAGGGAGCCCUGAAUUUUUCAUUUCAUGCAUCGCUCCAGAAAUGUAAAAUAUUGUGAGUGAAGAGUUAUAGAGUGAAAACGUGACUCCAGAAAGAAUAGUGAAAGGAUGGAGCCUAAAGGCUGAGGAGUGUAAUCUGAAUUGUUGUCAUCAUUACUCUGUAGAAGUCAUUUGACCUGUCUCAUCAUGCCAAAAUGCUUCACGCUUCACUUUCUACCUCUGAAAGUCAUGACUGAUGGGUUGUUUGGCCACAUUCUCUCAAGAAAAGUCUUCAUUCUGUAAUGUAGGGGUGACGGCAAAAUGACAGUGUGCAACAAUGUAGCAAGUCCAAGGCAUGACCCCUAAUCUGCCAGCAGUCAUAGGUGACAGCAAUUUCAUAGCUGACAUGCCCACGGGUAAAUACAUCUUCACAUGUGCUCUGUGGUGAAUUUUUUCUUUUAUAGACACAUGCAUUCAAACACCCCAGGCUAGAGAAGGAACUCGCAGUGCCUUUUAUUUUUGAAUCAUCACGUUUAAAAACAACGCUUUUUAUGUAUAGGCUUAAAGAAAAACACUAGAGUCAGUAUUUAGGAAGUUAGGUGAGGUCCUGAUCUUUUGCUUCUAUUUCCUUCCCCAUACCUAGUUACAAUAGACAAAUAUGUUCAGGCAUACACAAAAAAGAAGAGUUAGGAAUUUAGGGGGUUACUAAAAUUGAUUGCUCUUUUAAAUGACACAUAUGAUUAUUAGACCUCAGAAAUUUCUGUUUAUUAAUUGUAAUUUCCCCCUUUGAAAGUAUCAAAUUUGACAUAUAUUUUCUUAACCACAAAGGUCUUAUUUGAGUUUCUGGCUUUUUCCCCAGAAUAAGUUAACUAUAGUUUUGUGGAUUUUGGGGGAUGGGGUGGAGGUUGAUUUGAAAGUACAGAACAAACAGACCAUCAGAAAUAUUUAAAGCUCCUUUACAAACCCUAGAUAAAAUGGACAUGGUAAGGAAUUUGAAGCUUUAUUGAAUUUAUUUAGUGGCUUUUCUACAUAGAGCUUGGAUACAGUUGUGACUAUGUUUAUUUGAAAGAAGCAAAAUUGUGAGUUAAGUAGAUACUUCUUAUCUUGUAGGAGUCAUAAAGUUAGAGGUGAUUCCUUUUUUCCUUAUUUGUAUUUAAGUGAGACUACUAUAAAAUCCCUUUGUAUAAAGAUUCAAAUGAAAUUGCAAAAUGUAACAAGAGAAAACGAGAUUUAUAACUUGUACCCAGGAAAAAAGGAUUGUCCCUCUUUCUCAGGAAAAAGCAACCCUUUUCAAUGAAACAUGAGCCAGGCUGUGGUCAACAGAUGAGCACUGUGUCUAGCAAGGAAGCAAAAAGCAAGAUAACGGGCUUUGGAGAGCAAAACUGCAUUUUUGCCUCCACACAUUUUCCUGCCUCAGAAGCCUAUACAAAACUGUAAAUCCAUCCCAAAGAUAUAUUAAGGCUUCAGAGAGUUCUAGCAAUCCACUUUAUAGACUUAUAAAUUGAACUCAACAUUUAAAUUCAGGAUCAUGGUAUACAGCACACCUCUGUGUCUGGAUGGCAAGUUUGAUCAAUACAUUUGAGUAAAAGGAGAGAGAGAGGGAAAGACAGUUGUCCUAAGGAUAGCUAUAAUUUUGGUAGAUGUUGAUCAGAGCCUAAAUUCUAAAUUAAAACAUUUACUUUCCAAAUGCCUUGGGUAAUGGAGCCAACAAAAAGCCUCCUCAGAAAAAUGAUAAGGUUCAUCAUUUGCAUAAUUACUCAACAUCCAGCAUCCUAAGGCCCUCAUAAGAUUUCACCUUAAAGUUGGUGGGACAUGGAAGCCGUUUCGGCAACAAUACAAAGAAGCCAAAGUCAGCAUCUUGUCUGAGGUCUCACAAGCCAAUCUAGGGAUUGUGCUGUUUCUCUUCGGAUUCUUUUCCCCAGAUUGUUAGAGUGUUGAGUUCAGUUGCUUUCUAGAUUGCCUUCCCAGGACCUGUGUGCUCACCUGCUUCCUGAUCUGGCCACAUCUGGGGUUCCAGUCUGUGAGUGCCACACUUCUUCCUGCUUCAAGAUUGUGUUUUUGGUGUUAGUGCUACCCUGAGGAGAAGUGGAUCAAGUUUCCAAGCAGUGGAAGAACUGAAUCUUACCUGUUCUGUUACAUGUAUUCUUCCCUGGUUUCCAAGAUGACGCUUGUGAUUCCAAUAAAUUACACGCAAAAUUAAAACCAAGCCAAACCAAAUUCAAAACCAAAACCAAUGGAUUGAUAUGUGCUCAUUAUUAGUAAGUUUGUAG